GUUUAAGAUUCUAAAGAUUUUUCACUUCAGGAUGGAUUCUAGUGGAAGAUCUCAGACGAAGUCUCGCUUUGUCACCCAGGCUGGAGUGCACUGGCGCAGUCUCGGCUCACUGCAACCUCUGCCUCUCGGGUUCAUGCCAUUCUCCUGCCUCGGCCUCCCGAGUAGCUGGGAUUACAGGCGCCCACCACCACUCCCGGCUAAUUCCACAAAAGAAUAUUACAUGUGAUUUAAAGGCCAUUGUACAGCUAUUUGCUGGCUCCGAAGGACCCUCACCAGAUAUCAAAUCUGUUGGCACCUUGAUCUUGGACUUCCUGGUCUCCAGAACUAUGAGAAAUACAUUUCUGUUUUUUAUAAAUUACUAAUUCUAAGGGAUUUUGUUAUAGCAGCUCAAAUGGACUAAGACAAUUAGUCUAAAAUCUAAGCAUAUUUUACUUGACUAAACACUAUAAAUUUUAUUGAAAAACAUUAUUGUAAUUUAACUGUGGAUUUGAACAUUUUAAAAUAAAAAUAAGCAUGUUUAUGUUUGAUGUUGAAAUUCUCUGUUUCUGAAGUAGCGAAUGUUUUAGAAAGAAAUUCAAGGGGGAUAUUAGCAUAUGAUAGUCUUGUUUACUUCCAAUUAACACAGGAAUACUUUUUUCUGACAAACACUAAAAAUAGUUAAAAAUUAUGAAUCGUUUUUACCAAUGUGUAUCUUUGUAAACUAGGAGUUAAGACACAACACAUGUUUCCCCACUUUUCUCUUUUAUAGUGUGACAGUGUGAUUUUGUACUAUGAAUAUUUAUUAUAUGUUAAAGCCUACUUGCUUUUUAAAAAUGGAUUAUGAUCUUGAUCUUUUACUAGAUUGUAAGCAUCAUGUUCAUUUUAUUCACUAGCACAGGCCUGGCAUCUGUCACAGAGCACGGCACAUGCUAGCAAGCUCAAUAAGUACUUCUUACAUGAGCGAUUGUUUAGAUUUAUGAGUGAAUGAUGAUGACUCUUUUUCUCUCCCUAUUCCAUCCUCAGCUUCCUUCUUCCAUAUGUCUUUCACUUUACAUGCUUCCUAUUCUAUUGUUUUGAACAAUGUCUUGCUUGGUGUCCUUUUUUUUCUGUCACUGAUGUGUCUUACUCCUUUUCUCUUUCAGGAUAUCUUUCUAUACCCAUCUUUGUGUUUCUUCCUUAAACUUACAUUCCUGUUCUCUCCUCUGUUAAAAAUAUGAUAUGAAGUAAACAUUUUUAUCUGUUGUGUUAUUAAAUGAGUUUCGCCCUUUGCUGUUUAGAGAAUAAGGUAAUUGCAAUAUGUUUAUACCUUUUUUCCUCUUAAAAAGAUAAGAAAUAUGAUUCCUAUUGGAGUUUGGUUUUUAUUUUUAUUUUCUGUGGGAUUUUUUGUUUUAUGUGUGUUUCUGGAAGCCUAGAUUUUUUUAAGUGCUAAGCUACAGAAAUGUAGAAUAAUCUUACCCAAUCAACCAAAAACAAAUCCCCCAAAAUUAAGUUCAUCAAUUAAAUUUGUUUUCUAAACUGUUGGUGCUAUAAAGAUAAAACUUUAUUCUGCAUUAUUUCUGUGUUUGUUUAAAAUUAUUAUUGAGUUUAACUUAAAUUUAGAAACUUUUUGACUAAGAAUGUUUAGAGCACAAUAUUAUUUACAUAUAUAUAACUGUAAAUUAAGUUCAAAAAUAAAAUUCUUAUUCUUACAGUCUUAUCUCACUAAUACAACCAAAAUAACAUUAGUUAACACAAAGAACAUUAAAAACCAAUAUAAAUCAAAUUAAAGACAUUUAUUUUAUGUAUAAACCAUCAUUUAAAUAAAACUAUAUUAAGUGUAGCAUUUCAUUUCAUUUUUAAUUAUUUAUUCUUUUUGUUUGGAGUAAAAUGCCUUAUAUCUGUAUAUGUAUAUAUGCAUAAAUAUAUACAAAUAUUGAAACUAUAAAUAUUAUUUGAUAUUUUUAUAUUUUAAAAUUACUGCUCUUUUAAACAAUGCACUUAUUUUAACCACUAAUACUACUACUACAUUUAGCUAAAUCCCCGUAAAAUAAAAUUGUAUAUGUGAAUUAUUUUAAUACACACACAUGCAAAUGUUUUCUACUUAGUAUUACUAUAAAAUUGUUUAACUUGGUAAUAAAACCACACGCUGGUAUACUUCGCUGAAAUGUUGGUAUUUUAUAGAUUAUGAUGUUAAAUGUUUUUCUUAUAUUUUGUUUAUAACUUACCUACCUUACUUUGAACAAUCUCGCCUGUCAAAAUGCUACCUUUUUUCUAUAUGUGAACUUUCAUUUACACUAUUUUUUAUGGUAUAUUAGAA
rnacentral:lncRNA from 10 species